CCCUGCAUCCUCCCCACUAUGAUGGAGCCAGAAUCAGGGAUAUUUUUUCCUCCUCAUGGCUCGGAGAUCAUUCAUUAUGGCAAGUCCAACAUUUUCUUGUUUGGUGAAAAUUCAAAAGCCAACAUGUUGUCAUGGAGACACAAGAAGCUGUGUCCAUCAGGCUGGGACUGGAGCCCAGCCCUGACCUCAGUUUCCACAUGGGCUCAACUUCAAGGAGCAAACAAAUCCUCCUGCUUCCUUCAGGUGAGCCAGGGGUCACUACUGAGCCAGUGAAGAGACAGCAGAACCAGUCAGAUGAGGAACUUGUCUGCUCUGAACAAGGUUUUGCCACAUGGCAUCUAAUGAAACGCUCAGAACAAUGAAAACCUCCCCCUGAAAACAUGCUCCCUUAUAGUAUCAGGAAUGCAGAAAGAGUGACUCUCCUCUUCUGCUGAUAUUCUGGAUAGAAUUUGGCCCAAGUCACCAAAACAGAGCCUCCAACACACAUUCAGGGCAAGAGGUAAGCUUGGGAGUGAAUGACCGAGGAAUCUCCAGAUGACUGGGCCUCUGGCUCUAGGUCUCGCUGCUAAUACUGAAGCCUCACAAAGCAUGUGCAGCUCUGAUGUCUCCACUUUCUUCUGCAAUCCCAUGUGGCUUCCAGUGCACUGGAGCAGAGGUGGCUAGUCUUCUUUGGGAAGUCUGGAGUGUGAAUUUUGAGAUGGCUUGGAUGCUAUGCCCAGCAGAACACCCAGCAGACUUGUCCAAGGGUCUUCAGCAGCUGGCUGAACAGACAGCAGAAUAGGAUGAUGACUUCUAGACCAGAAAGGGAAUCCAGCCUGGCCUUCCACUAGUGUCUCCAACCAGAUCAAAUCGGCCCUGAUCAGCACCUGCCAUGCAGCCCAAGGGGCCAGCCUUGGGAGUCCUGAGAAACUGAGAGCUGCUUGUCCAAAUUCCAGAAUCUGUAGUCCUGCCUUGAGAGAAUGGAUUGUGUUCUUGGAGCACCUGGGGCACCUAGGGCAGCAGGCCUUCUUCCCACAGGCAGCCCCAUUUCCACCACCACCUUUCUCACCAGGCUGUCUCCUGAGCCCCGAACUGCCGUUCAUUGGUGCUGCGAGCCAGGAACCCUCACUCUGGGUUCUCCUCUCCCUCACUUCUCACAUUUCUCUAUCUUGUCUCCCCAGUCUCAUUUCCCACCACUUGCCUGUCCCUCGUCAUGUCUGACAGAAGACUUAGGUAGGUGCCACAGGCAAGACACAUGUCUUGUCAUGGGUGACUCUGUUCACAGCACAAACCUUCAGCUCUGUGCCCUUCUGGGCUCCUUUGCCCAGAGCCGGUCCUCCUUCCCACCUCCAGCCCACUUCACUGAUGCUGGAAACUGAGCGAGGCCUGGCUAACACAAGUGAAGAGACCACCAGAUCCUACUUGAGUCUUCUGGGAGGACCCAAUAAAUCACCCCUCCUUCCUUGCCACAUACUGAUCCACUUUGGAAGCGACUGAAGACUAAGCAGUGUGGCCAACAUAUUUAUUGCUGGUAUGAUCUAUGUUGGAGAACAUGCAGCAAGUGUGCUUUCUAGUAUGAGCCCCAGAACUAUGCAGACUCUGCUGCCCAGCAGCCCUGGGCCCUACAUGACUUAGGCCCAGAGGAGCUGAGCAGAUCGUGUGCUCUCUGCAGCUUGGCUUCCCCCAGGAAGAGGACCCAUAGAGGGACAACCUAGCACCUCCCGCCAAACUAAUCAGACAUGGCCAAUGCUUCCUUCACCACAAAGGGUUUGCAAAAAAGGAGGAGGGCAGGCCUGAUGUGCAGGCUCCAGCAGCUGCCAUCACAUCUCAUCUUGAAAGGACCCAAGGUCCAGUGUCCUGGGAUCUAAGACAAAGCUUGAAAGAACAAGACGGUGAAAGCAGAGGCAAGAUGAGAAAAGCAUUAGCUUCCCUCCCACAUCCAGAGAAACGGCCCAGCUCAAGGAACUGUUCUAACGGGUCAGGCAGCAGUUGCUGGGCACUGGGAGGGAGGCCUGGUCCUGCCACCGAAGGUUGAAAGGAUGGAGGCACAGAUGGAGGACACAGCAAAGAGUACAGUCGUGAGUAAUCGUCAGACCUGGAAAACGAACACAGCACCUCAAAUACACCUGUCUGUCACGAACGGGCUUCUAAGUAUUGGCAUGAUGGCAAAGGUCAGCAAAACAUCGGAUACCAAUUAACGUGAAACUCACCCAGCUUUUUAAUUUCGUGUGUCCGCUCAUCCCUUGUCAGUGGGACAUAAUUCAUCUUGCGGCCACUUUCCCCGUAGCCCAGAAGGAAACCCCGCGAUCUGCGUGGACUCUUGGCUCCCGACAGGCGCGGUGCCUUCCACGCAACGGACAGCCGGUCGUCUGAGGAUCGGACACGGACACGCAAGGGCUUGUUGGGCACUUCCUUUUCUUAAAGAGGACAUGACACAGACAUUAUUAAACAGUAUACCCCUCAGAGUGAGCCACUGAGUAUAUACAGUCUGUCCGAAGACUGAGCUACAGCAAUUAGCAGUUGGGCCCAAGCAGCCGGGUUUUGACAAUCAAUUCUAAUAGGAACACUUCUCCCCCAAGGGUAUCGACACUCCACGCACGUGUCCCUCCCCACAUUUCAGACCAAGGGGUCUCAAGAACUUAAAGCAAAAACAUGCCAUUGUGAGGCUGCCAGCCAGAAAUCUUGGAUGUUUUAUAACAUUCUUUCUCAUCCAUUUUGCCUUCUUAAGGCCAAAAUUAUAUAUUCUCUGGUGAGAGCGAAAGGUCAGUGUAAAAAUAGAGCAAAUACACUUCUGGGCUCUUUAUAACGGUCCUCCAGGAAGCUUUCCACUCUAAGGUUCAAAAAAGACAGGCUUUCCUUGUCUUUACAGUAAAUCGCUAAGAGCUAAA